AAAUGAAUUGACGGGGGCCCGCACAAGCGGAGGAACAUGUGGUUUAAUUCGAUGAUACGCGAGGAACCUUACCCGGGCUUGAAAUGGAGAGGAAUAACAGUGAAAGCUGUUAGCCAGCAAUGGUCUCUUUGUAGGUGCUGCAUGGUUGUCGUCAGCUCGUGCCGUGAGGUGUCGGCUUAAGUGCCAUAACGAGCGCAACCCUUGCCAAUAGUUGCCAGCAGUAAGAUGGGCACUCUAUUGGGACUGCCACCGUAAGGUGUGAGGAAGGUGGGGAUGACGUCAAAUCAGCACGGCCCUUACGUCCGGGGCGACACACGUGUUACAAUGGGGAGUACAGAGGGCAGCUACCUGGCGACAGGAUGCUAAUCUCAUAAAGCUCUUCUCAGUUCGGAUCGGAGUCUGCAACUCGACUCCGUGAAGCUGGAUUCGCUAGUAAUCGCGCAUCAGCCAUGGCGCGGUGAAUACGUUCCCGGGCCUUGUACACACCGCCCGU
rnacentral:rRNA from 1 species